UGGGGAAUAUUGGACAAUGGGCGAAAGCCUGAUCCAGCCAUGCCGCGUGUGUGAAGAAGGUCUUCGGAUUGUAAAGCACUUUAAGUUGGGAGGAAGGGCAUUAACCUAAUACGUUAGUGUUUUGACGUUACCGACAGAAUAAGCACCGGCUAACUCUGUGCCAGCAGCCGCGGUAAUACAGAGGGUGCAAGCGUUAAUCGGACUUACUGGGCGUAAAGCGCGCGUAGGUGGUUUGUUAAGUUGGAUGUGAAAGCCCCGGGCUCAACCUGGGAACUGCAUCCAAAACUGGCAAGCUAGAGUACGGUAGAGGGUGGUGGAAUUUCCUGUGUAGCGGUGAAAUGCGUAGAUAUAGGAAGGAACACCAGUGGCGAAGGCGACCACCUGGACUGAUACUGACACUGAGGUGCGAAAGCGUGGGGAGCAAACA
rnacentral:rRNA from 1 species